CCUACGAGAGGCUGCAGUGGGGAAUAUUGCCCAAUGGGGGAAACCCUGAUGCAGCGACGCCGCGUGAGCGAUGAAUUAUUUCGGUAUGUAACGCUCUAUCAGCAGGGAAGAAAAUGACGGUACCUGACUAAGAAGCCCCGGCUAACUACGUGCCAGCAGCCGCGGUAAUACGUAGGGGGCAAGCGUUAUCCGGAUUUACUGGGUGUAAAGGGAGCGUAGACGGCUGUGCAAGCCAGAUGUGAAAGCCCGGGGCUCAACCCCGGGACUGCAUUUGGAACCGUGUGUCUGGAGUGUAGGAGAGGCAGGCGGAAUUCCUAGUGUAGCGGUGAAAUGCGUAGAUAUUAGGAGGAACACCAGUGGCGAAGGCGGCCUGCUGGACGAUGACUGACGUUGAGGCUCGAAAGCGGGGGGAGCAAACAGGAUUAGAUACCCCAGUAGUC
rnacentral:rRNA from 1 species